rnacentral:rRNA from 1 species
UCCGUAGGCGGGCGAUUAAGUCAGAGGUGAAAUCCCACAGCUUAACUGUGGAACUGCCUUUGAUACCGGUCGUCUUGAGUUAUAGUGAAGUAGAUAGAAUAUGUAGUGUAGCGGUGAAAUGCUUAGAUAUUACAUAGAAUACCGAUUGCGAAGGCAGUCUACUAACUAUAUACUGACGCUAAUGGACGAAAGCGUGGGGAGCGAACAGGAUUAGAUACCCUGGUAGUCC